rnacentral:misc_RNA from 1 species
UGUAAUGCCAAAGGAGAAAUUGGCUGAUUGAGCAUCAGCUGAAGAAGUUGCUUUGUUCCUGGUGGCAUCAGUUAAUUGUUUCCCAUGUUGAACUUUGUUUCCAUUGAUGAUUGCUAUUGCUUCAGCUGAGCGACCUGCACUUUGACUAGCACUCGACUCAGUUUUUCUUCAUUUUCAUGCCCUUCCUUGCUUGUAAUGAAUUGAAG